AGCAGAGGAGACGGGUAUGGCUGCAGCCUGGAGACUCCUGCGUGAUGGCGCUCGUCUCAUGGUGUGGGCGUGUACAACAGCAAGUGUACAUGGUCAAAAAUCUAAAGCCGUGCUUUCAGUCAGCGAUGUCGUUACAGGUUAUGUUGGACGUGGGAGGUUGGGAGAGCUGCGGGGUGUUUAUUCUGAGGAUCCCCAUCCUGGAUUUUGCAGCCAGUUCUGCCAGCGUCAGUCUUAGUGUUUGCUUGUGUGUGCACUCAUGUGUAUCUGUGAAUAAAGAUGCAGAGAUAAAGGUCA